rnacentral:rRNA from 1 species
CCUACGGGCGGCUGCAGUGAGGAAUAUUGGUCAAUGGGCGCGAGCCUGAACCAGCCAAGUAGCGUGAAGGAUGACUGCCCUACGGGUUGUAAACUUCUUUUAUAAAGGAAUAAAGUGAGGCUCGUGAGCCUCUUUGUUUUUACUUUAUGAAUAAGGAACGGCUAACGUCGCGCCAGGAGCCGCGGUAAUACGGAGGAUCCGAGCGUUAUCCGGAUUUAUUGGGUUUAAAGGGAGCGUAGAUGGGUUGUUAAGUUUGUUGUGAAAGUUUGCGGCUCAACCGUAAAAUUGCAAUUGAUACUGGCAGCCUUGAGUACAGUUGAGGUAAGCGGAAUUCGUGGUGUAGCGGUGAAAUGCUUAGAUAUCACGAAGAACUCCGAUUGCGAAGGCAGCUUACUAAACUGCCACUGACAUUGAUGCUCGAAAGUGUGGGUAUCAAACAGGAUUAGAUACCCCUGUAGUC